UUUGCCUUGAGAUUAGCAGCCACGAGCUAUUGUAGAGACAGUCGAUCUUUUUUGUCGAGACUGCGGUUCAGAUACCUAAGAGCGACGAGCACUUCAGGAUUUUAUUUGCCCUCUCUGGAAUUCAGUUUUGACAUCUAUAAAAGGGGACGCAGCUUUUCUUCACAGAAUUAUUGGAAAUAUCCAGAGAACGAAGGUUCCUCCACUGGAGAUGCCACUCAGAUCUGACCCAGUAAUGCGCUUAGCACAGUUCCUGGCACAGGGAAAAUGCUCAUCGGAGUGACCGGUUUAGAGGUGUGUGUACGCGAACCGAGCUGGGACAGCGGGAUACGACUCUGGCACUUUCAUCCCGAUGUUGAAAAGAAAGGAGACCCAUCUUCCCACUGAACCUGAAGCGGAUGGGCCUUCUGUAACCCAAGACCUGCUGGGAGCACCAAGUGGACGGAGCGUGGCCAAGAGGGCAGCCAGUAUUGCCGAAGGCUGAUCGAGAGGCGGACGGAGUCUUCACCCUGUUUGGGAUUCUCCGUCCAUCCCUGCCUGAAGCCUGUGAUGUGCCGGGGGGUGAAACUUUGAAGGCGGAGGAGCGCGGACGUAGCUUCUCUCCCACGGAGUGUGGUUAUUCCCGGAGGAGAAGUCCCAUCAGCCGGUCGCCGGAGCUCUGGAGUUCCUUAGCCAUUACUUACAUAAGAUGAAAAUGGAAGCGCCCAUCUUUCUCGCUUAAGGAGGUUGCUGCUGGACUGAAUGAGAUCAAGAAUGUGGGAAUGUUUACUGAGCCGUCGGUGCUGCUCAAAUAACAAGGGGCUACCACGCAGAGAAAACUCAUCAAAAAAUGAAGCCAAACACAAUGGAAAUGAGAGCUUAGAGACCUAUAGCGAUGAAACCUGUGGGACGGCCUUUGGCUCCUGGGUCCAGCUAUUUCUGAA